rnacentral:rRNA from 1 species
CCUACGGGAGGCAGCAGUGGGGAAUAUUGGACAAUGGGCGAAAGCCUGAUCCAGCCAUGCCGCGUGUGUGAAGAAGGUCUUCGGAUUGUAAAGCACUUUAAGUUGGGAGGAAGGGUUGUAGACUAAUACUCUGCUGUUUUGACGUUACCGACAGAAUAAGCACCGGCUAACUCUGUGCCAGCAGCCGCGGUAAU